GAUGCUUCAAUGACACAAUUGUUGGUGACCGAUGGUUCCCAUACUGAUCAGGAGUUCCCUCACAUUGUUUCUCAACUGGAUCAUCUUUAUCUUUACAAUCUCUAGGCGAUACACCUGGAAAGCUAUUGGAAAAGAUGUGAGGUGAGUAAGGGGCAAAUAUUUGUUUCACUUGGCAGAACUUGAUGCCUUCCACAAUCUUGUUCAUCUCUUCAAAAUAUCCAUCAUGACUAACAAUCAGCAGAGUCUCACUAAUUCCUUCCACGCGAGAAAGGCUAUCGAUCACGAUUUGAAGAUACUGAGGCCGGUUAUGAACAUACAAAACAAUAACUACAUGAUCUUUCACUAACUUUGGAUACAAAUCCAAGUUUCUUGGAGGGAUCUGAUUCCUCUUAUUCAAGCUCACAGACAACUCAUUUUGCAAGAGGAGUUUCGGAAUUUUCGGUUCAAUAAUUUCAAUACUUUCAGUACUCUCAUAAAUGUCACUGUUUAUCAAACUAGAAAUUGUAUUACUCCUAAAGAGAAUCAAAAUUAAAACUAUUCCAAACACAGUUAUCAAUGCUAG
rnacentral:misc_RNA from 1 species